rnacentral:snoRNA from 1 species
UAGCACUUGAAACUAGCCUUGUUUAAAGUGAAUUGCUGCACAGAAGUGUAAAGUAAGUCUCCGAAAAACAGGAAGAAGAGAUUGUAAAACUCCUCUUUGGAUCCUGUCUGGAGUCACAGCU